GACGGAGGGUGCAAGCGUUGUUCGGAAUUACUGGGCGUAAAGAGCGCGUAGGCGGUCUCAUAAGUCAGGCGUGAAAGCCCUGGGCUCAACCCAGGAACUGCGUUUGAUACUAUGAGACUAGAGGACCAGAGAGGAAAGUGGAAUUCCUAGUGUAGAGGUGAAAUUCGUAGAUAUUAGGAAGAACACCAGUGGCGAAGGCG
rnacentral:rRNA from 1 species